AGUCAUCAAUGAGCAGGGUGUGUGUUCUCUCUACAGUUAUAUACUUCUAGUCGUUGUGAUACUCAAGAAAAAGUCAAGAAAAUUCCUAAAAGUCUGUCACUAACAAAAACUAAGCCUCUCUCAUUCCGUCCAGUUUCAAAACCCAUCUCACACUUAAACUUAAGGGCAGUUAAACUCAAAUUUGAUAAAAGUUUGGGGGAUUAUGACCAAAAAGAUAAACCUCACUCUGUUACUCUGGCCUCUCAGGAGUCUGAUCUUCAGUCCUUAAAGCAAUCUAGUCCUCCUCCA